rnacentral:rRNA from 1 species
AUUGAACGCUGGCGGCAUGCCUUACACAUGCAAGUCGAACGGCAGCGCGGGGGCAACCCUGGCGGCGAGUGGCGAACGGGUGAGUAAUAUAUCGGAACGUACCCAAGAGUGGGGGAUAACGUAGCGAAAGUUACGCUAAUACCGCAUACGAUCUAAGGAUGAAAGUGGGGGACCGCAAGGCCUUCACGCUCCUGGAGCGGCCGAUAUCUGAUUAGCUAGUUGUGGGUAAAGCCUACCAAGGCAUCGAUCAGUAGCUGGCCUGAGAGGACGACCAGCCACACUGGGACUGAGACACGGCCCAGACUCCUACGGGAGGCAGCAGUGGGGAAUUUUGGACAAUGGGGGCAACCCUGAUCCAGCAAUGCCGCGUGAGUGAA